AUGUCUUGGAUCAUACCAUGAUGACCUGAGUGUUUUAUCAGUCCCUUCUGUUGACUACAGCAAGAAAGCAGGUGUGGGAGAAAAAGUUGCCAUUCUGGAUCAGUUUUUUUGUCCUGGCAGUUAUGGAACAAAAAUCAAGAUGGCUACAGAGUUCAAUGAUUGAUUUGAAC